UUUUUGCAGUGUACAGGAAAAAUCCUGCUUCCUUCAUUUGUUUUACUACUUAUUCAGCAAAUUGCUGCUUCGCUGCAACAUCUGCAGAUGAAAGACUUUACUGGUGGAAGCAGGAAACGUUGUUUUCUCCUGAUCCUCCUCCCUACAUCAGGUAGAGCUAAUGACGGGUCUGAGAGUAACCUGCAUAUUAUCCAAUCCCUCACCGCCCUGCAGCGCCGGCGGCCAGCGAAAAACAGGAAAUGCCUGUGCGCUGUUCUCACUGUAUCUGAGCCGCGCUCUCUCUCUCUCCCCUAUAUAUACGCUGUACCUCGAUCGCCCCUCCUCCUCACAGCUACAGUGACUCACAGCUUUUCCUGCCAGCCGACUUUUCUCCCUUUUUCUCUCCUGGCACUUCCACUCCAAAGACAAGAAGGAGGAACUGAGGUAUUUCCUGCCAUUGUGAGGGAUGAUGAGUAGAAGGAGGGAGGGGAAAAGGGAAAAAAAAACCGCUCUGAAAUGGGUCGGAUCGGACCAAAAUGAGGCAGAACGGGCCUGAAACCUCCCGCACGGCUCCGCCCGUUUUCAGUGUUGACGCAGAGUCUGUGGGAGAAGACGUGCUGAGCCCCGGCGGCUGUAACCAUCCUGGAAUGUCUCGCUGCUCAGUCCGGGAAUGUUCCACUUUAACGUCAAAGAUACGACUUCAGAACGAAGCAGUUUAACUCUAAAGCUUCUGAAAGUGUCUUUCCCUCAUCACAUAUACAGAGUUCCCAUAACUCUGUAGUGAUCCGCGCAGAUCAACCGCCAUCUUGGUAGGCAAGCGCAGCGCAAAACCUAGAUGAACCAUGGCUUCCAGACCAACAAAAAGAAAAUUUGGAUUUGGUUGCAGUGUGACGUCACGCCCCCAUCUCCCUGCUGGAGGGUAAAAAGCUGCUGGCUAACGAAGACUACCACUCCCUGACCCCCAUCUGAAUCAGGGUCACAUAUCUGCUUGUCCAGUUUGACUUACAUGCCUGCCCUGUUUGGGACCGGUUGGGGUGCUGCUGGAGCUGCGGGGUGUGGGUCCCAGCAGCCCCCCGCUGCCCAGUAAACCCAGUCUGGCUCCCGG